rnacentral:rRNA from 1 species
CCGAAAGGCAGGAGUGCCCGCAAGGGAGCGCGGAGACAGGUGGUGCAUGGCUGUCGUCAGCUCGUGUCGUGAGUUGUUGGGUUAAGUCCCGCAACGAGCGCAACCCUCACCCCUUGUUGCUACCAGGUAAAGCUGGGCACUCUAGGGGAACUGCCCCGGUCAACGGGGAGGAAGGCGGGGAUGACGUCAAGUCAUCAUGCCCCUUACGUCCUGGGCUACACACGUGCUACAAUGGCCGGUACAAAGGGAUGCCACACCGUGAGGUAGAGCUAAACCCAAAAAGCCGGUCUAAGUUCAGAUUGGAGUCUGCAACUCGACUCCAUGAUGGAGGAAUCGCUAGUAAUCGCGUAUCAGCACGACGCGGUGAAUGCGUUCCCGGGCCUUGUACACACCGCCCGUCACACCACGAAAGCCAG